GUCGAGCGGAACGAGUUAUCUGAACCUUCGGGGAACGAUAACGGCGUCGAGCGGCGGACGGGUGAGUAAUGCCUAGGAAAUUGCCCUGAUGUGGGGGAUAACCAUUGGAAACGAUGGCUAAUACCGCAUAAUGCCUACGGGCCAAAGAGGGGGACCUUCGGGCCUCUCGCGUCAGGAUAUGCCUAGGUGGGAUUAGCUAGUUGGUGAGGUAAGGGCUCACCAAGGCGACGAUCCCUAGCUGGUCUGAGAGGAUGAUCAGCCACACUGGAACUGAGACACGGUCCAGACUCCUACGGGAGGCAGCAGUGGGGAAUAUUGCACAAUGGGCGCAAGCCUGAUGCAGCCAUGCCGCGUGUGUGAAGAAGGCCUUCGGGUUGUAAAGCACUUUCAGUCGUGAGGAAGGUAGUGUAGUUAAUAGCUGCAUUAUUUGACGUUAGCGACAGAAGAAGCACCGGCUAACUCCGUGCCAGCAGCCGCGGUAAUACGGAGGGUGCGAGCGUUAAUCGGAAUUACUGGGCGUAAAGCGCAUGCAGGUGGUUUGUUAAGUCAGAUGUGAAAGCCCGGGGCUCAACCUCGGAAUUGCAUUUGAAACUGGCAGACUAGAGUACUGUAGAGGGGGGUAGAAUUUCAGGUGUAGCGGUGAAAUGCGUAGAGAUCUGAAGGAAUACCGGUGGCGAAGGCGGCCCCCUGGACAGAUACUGACACUCAGAUGCGAAAGCGUGGGGAGCAAACAGGAUUAGAUACCCUGGUAGUCCACGCCGUAAACGAUGUCUACUUGGGAGGUUGUGGCCUUGAGCCGUGGCUUUCGGAGCUAACGCGUUAAGUAGACCGCCUGGGGGAGUACGGUCGCAAGAUUAAAACUCAAAUGAAUUGACGGGGGCCCGCACAAGCGGUGGAACAUGGUGGUUUAAUUCGAUGCAACGCGAAGAACCUUACCUACUCUUGACAUCCAGAGAACUUUCCAGAAGAUGGAUUGGUGCCUUCGGGAACUCUGAGACAGGUGCUGCAUGGCUGUCGUCAGCUCGUGUUGUGAAAUGGUUGGGUUAAGUCCCGCAACGAGCGCAACCCUUAUCCUUGUUUGCCAGCGAGUAAU
rnacentral:rRNA from 1 species